CAGUUUUGGUGACUGUGCUCCUCCAAGCCAGUUACCACCGCCGAUUAGAAGAGGUCGAAGACUUCUGAUCGGACGGAAGGACCCGCCACAAGGCGGGUUUUUUCGU
rnacentral:antisense_RNA from 3 species